rnacentral:rRNA from 1 species
GUGAGGAAUAUUGGACAAUGGGCGCAAGCCUGAUCCAGCCAUGCCGCGUGCAGGAAGACGCAUCUAUGGUGUGUAAACUGCUUUUGUACGGGAAGAAACACUCCCUCGUGAGGGAGCUUGACGGUACCGUAAGAAUAAGGAUCGGCUAACUCCGUGCCAGCAGCCGCGGUAAUACGGAGGAUCCAAGCGUUAUCCGGGAUCAUUGGGUUUAAAGGGUCCGUAGGCGGUUUAAUAAGUCAGUGGUGAAAGCCCAUCGCUCAACGAUGGAACGGCCAUUGAUACUGUUAGACUUGAAUUACAAGGAAGUAACUAGAAUAUGUAGUGUAGCGGUGAAAUGCUUAGAUAUUACAUGGAAUACCAAUUGCGAAGGCAGGUUACUACUUGUGGAUUGACGCUGAUGGACGAAAGCGUGGGGAGCGAACAGGAUUAGAUACCUGGGUAGUCC